rnacentral:rRNA from 1 species
UGGAUUGCGCAUGGGCGCAGCCUGAUCAGCCUGCCGCGUGUGUGAUGAAGGCCCUCUGGUUGGAAGCUGCUUUUGCACGGAAGAAAACACUCCGGUUGUACCAGCUUGACGGGACUGUACCAAUAAAGAUCGGCCGGCCCAUGCCGUGCCCCCCGGUAAUAUAAUA